rnacentral:rRNA from 1 species
UACGGGGGGGGCAAGCGUUGUUCGGAAUUACUGGGCGUAAAGGGCUCGUAGGCGGCCAACUAAGUCAGACGUGAAAUCCCUCGGCUUAACCGGGGAACUGCGUCUGAUACUGGAUGGCUAGAGGUUGGGAGAGGGAUGCGGAAUUCCAGGUGUAGCGGUGAAAUGCGUAGAUAUCUGGAGGAAUACCGGUGGCGAAGGCGGCAUCCUGGACCGACAUUGACGCUGAGGAGCGAAAGCCAGGGGAGCAAACGGG